CGGGCUUUCGAAGUAAACAGCUUCAAACAGCGACGCAGCGAGAAGCUAACGUUAGUCAGGUUAGAGAACGUUUUGCCAAACUAAUAAAAUAUCUUACUAAACUAAGCAAUACGCUUAAAUUACGGCAAUUAGGGUGUAUUAACUUCAAACAUCAUUUCAGAAGCUGCCAGAUUCGGAGACCCUUUGAAAUGUGCAGCGGUGUCAUGGUGCUUCAUUCAUCUCCCAAGUUCUCAAUUAAAACCCACUGCUCACAAGCUGAGAGGAACGAAGAGGAAUGCUCAAUGUGGAACAUCUGCAAACAUCACAUCGGCGAGGCGCAAACCCCCCUCCUCAAAAUGGCACCCCAGGGAGGCAGCAGGCAUGGUUCGCUGCUGCUUAAAGACUUGGCCGUGGUGCCAGAGACACAUCUGGUCCGUUUGAGCCGUGCAGAUUCUACUUGGAACCAUCUCCAUCUCAAUGAACCGUCUGAAAGAAUAUGGCGCAUGUAAUAAUGAUCUCUUUUUCUUCAAAUGGUCUCAUCGUCAGAGCAUUUGGACCGAGAUGAGGCAGUGUCAACAGGAAUAUAAUCUGGAACGAAUUGAGCAAAUUGUGACUCUGACUGGCAAAUCUCAAGUUCCCAGUGUCUUUUCAUGUAAACUGGCUGAAAUACUGUGAAAGUUCUCAGCAUGUACAUGGCAAAAAUCUAAUGUCUUCAGAGACAAAUUGAAGGGCCAUUAUCAGCCAUUGUUUUUCCUGUUCUAAAGGCCAUCUUAAAACAAUUAAUUCCCAUGGCAUCUAUCGAUCGAUCGAUCUAUCUAUCUAUCUAUCUAUCUAUCUAUCUAUCUAUCUAUCUACAGUAUCUAUCUGUUUAAUCAUUUGAAGUAGAUCAAAAAAGUUUAUCAAAGUUGUCCUAAGACAAGAACAGGUAUUGUUUCGGUUUUAGGACUACAUUGAUGAAAGGUUUUGAUCCACUUCAAAUGUUGACUAGUGUGUGUAUGUGUAUAUAUAUAUAUAUAUACAGUAUAUAUAUAUUUUUUUUUUUUCAGCAGUGCUAAUAUUUCAUUACAUGGCAGUAAAUGCUUUACCAGUCUCUGAUUCCUUUUUCCAGGGCUCUUUAGAGUGUGAAAUUGAUUACUUUUUCUCCAUCUUUGACGUCUCAGCUCAGGAUAGUGGCUAGUGAAGGGUUUGGGGCCCUGC
ensembl:lncRNA